GGAGACAUUUUCAGGAGUUGUGAAAAACGAGUGAAAAUCACUGAUAACAUCAACACCAUCAUCAGAAAAGCAACUAUGCUGGCUAUGUUAGCAAAAUUGAGGUUUUGGAUAAAUGUGUUGCCAAAUGAUAAAAGUGGGAAGACUCGGGCCCUGCUCACCCCCAGACCACGGCCCCCAGCGAUACAAGCAGGCCCAGGGCGGCACACACCCUUCACGCUUCAGAGACUCGGGGCCGGCGGCUCGUGGCGCUGAUGCACUACACCUGGGAAGCACUCGGCCGCCUCAGCGUCUGCUCUCUCUCCGGAAGCUCUGGGUUGUAGUCCAGGCUCAACCUCUGAUCAGAGCCUCACGCUUCUAAUGCGCAGAAUGAAGAAUGACGCCAAGCACCUUCAUCCACAUUCUGGAGAGGCAGACGGGAAUUAGCAGUCCCUUUGAUGCCAAAAUCAUCUUGGAUAACAGGUAAUACAAUU